UUGUAGUUUGUAGCGUGUGGCUGUGGCUUUUCAAGUUAACUAUUGGCCACUGUUAUUGGUCUCAGGGGUGCAUGGGGGCUUGGCCCGUGCUGUGUCAUGCUGCACCAUGUGUUGUGGACGCUGCCACCGUAGAACUCUCAUGCUCCCCCUCCCCUCCCCCUUCCCCCCAACCCCAAACCCCAAACCCCCUUCCUUGGAUGUGAGGGUUUUGAGUGAAUGUGGAAAGUGUUGACGCCACCUUUUGUUGUAAAAGAUUUUUUUCUUUCUUUUUUGAGGUAUAGAUGGCGACACGUUCCAGUCGCGUUUGGGCUGGGCGCUUAGGCCUGUACACAACUUUUUUCUGACAGAGGAAAAAUUUUACCUUUAUAGUGUGUGCAAAACAUUUUUAUAUGAAGUAAUGUUUAAAAGAAAUAAAAAAAUCUUAGAGGAUAUAUGUACUUUAUGUUUAAAAAAAAGAAAAAAAAAAGUGACAGAAUAAAAAAAGGAUUAAAAAAUUAAUAAAAAUGAGAGAGAGAGAGAGAGAAUGAGAAUUAGAAGUUUUACUGUGUUUAGUGUCCAGCCUUUAGCACAACUAGGCCAUGUGAGUCUGUACUGUGGGCUCAGAGCUCUGUUAGGAUGUCAACCCCUUGAGGGCACAGAUACAAUUCCCUGUGCUGUGUGAAGGGUCUUUUUGGCCUCGAUGUGUCAAAAUGGAGACUACCCACUAACACACGAAGGUACAAAGGUUAUAAACAUUGGUUGUAAGAGUGUACGUCUGUGCGUGUGUGCCUGUUUUGGUGUCGUCCAUCGUUGAAUGCACAAGGUGCAGGCUCAUUUAAAAAGUAUAUAUCAUUUAGUCAUGUCUUUAGAUUUGGAAAUGGAGAGGACUUGGUUGCCAGAAUUGGGGUGACGGACGGGCAGUGUGCUUGUCGGGUGGCGGGUGGUGGUGGGGGGAGGGAGCUUGGGAAAGGUGGCACUGUUCUCGUGAGGAGACUCGGGUCAUGUGGAGACAAAAAGAUUUUUGUGUUAUUACAGAUGCUGAAUGAAGCACGUUGUAAGUUCAGUGAUAAUUAGGCUUUAGAAUUUGUUAUAGGUUUGCCAGUUGCUUGUUGAGGAAAGUUUAGAAACAAGGUUGCUAAAGAUCAAGAGCUGAGUUUCCACCUGCAGUCGUAGGAUGGGGCACCAGGGAGGAUGCAACAGGUAGACAUGCAAGAUCAGUGAGUCUUACACAGGAGUAGGUCAAGUUCCAGGUGGACAAACCUAUUUCCCUGUGUUCUUUGUGCUUGGUGUAAUGCGAACACCACCUAGGUCAGUGAUCAUAGACUUGAAUUUUUUUGUUGUUGUUUUUACAUACUAUUUAAUUUCUGUGAGGUGCACAAACUCCACUAGCAUUGCACAGGGAAGUAUGGAGGUAAGGUGUGCAGUCUCCUCGCAUUGUAACGACUGACCACUGACUCUGUCAAAAGAGGCUAUGUACCUAAACAUGUGAUAUGGUGGAACAUCAUCACUUUCCUUGACUUAAUACCCAGAAUAGUUUGGGAGGUACUUAGAAGACUAACAGUGAAUUUGCACAUUUGGAGUGUGAGAUAGUUCCAUAGCUAAAAUGUUGAUUUAAUUGUUGUUGCUAUGUUAAGUAUGAAUUAGACACACAUUAGAAGCCAACCAUUUUCAUCCUCUCAUGCAUCAAGCUUUAAUCGAAAAAGCUGUUGAUUUUUGUUGAUUGAAAAAAAACAUAUAUUCUUUGUUUUUCAUUGCAUUUAUGGAUGUGAUUUGUUUUUACUUAAAACUUGUGUGUGUUGUUUUCCUCUUAACUUUUUUUUCUUUUCUUUUUUUCUUUUUUUGCUUGAUUUGAUUUGGAAUGGCUGCACUUUGUUGGUAUGGGAAGGUGAAUUGGGCAGGAUUGUUGGUUAAGCUAAGGUUAAAAAGCUGCUUAAGUAUAUUGCUGAAAGAAGUCCAUUUUAAUUUUUCCUUUAGAACUUCAAAUCUGGAUAAUUUUUGUGCAUUUUGAAUUUUGAAGCCCAUUAGUAUUGUCUUUAAUUCUUGUUUUCUUUGCUUGUCAAGAGAAGAUGACAAAGUUGUGUGAUCCAGACAUGUCACCCUGUCUCGCAGAGAGUCCAAGUUUAGGGGGCAGUGAUCUUAGGAGUGAUGUAGCACUUGGAUAUGUCUUUGAAUCAGCACCUUUAAGGAUGUGGCAGGGAAAGGAAUUUUAGUUUAGAAAAAGGCUAGCCUGACGUCGCGAGAGUUUUCAUCGUUUCUGAAGUAAUUGAACGUUGACGCAAUAUUUUUACUGAGGCAAUGGGCCAUGAAUGGAAUUUAGUUUUGGAGGCCAAUGUGGAAUAAUGAAGAGUUUAGGAAAAGAGUAAGUGAGCAAAUCUGCAUGCAUGGAUGCGUGUGCAUGUGUAUGUUAAUGAGUGAGAUAUCAGGAUAAUAGAUAAUCUGGAAAUGUGUAUGUGAGUUUGGCUAAUACAGUGCAUAAAUGUGAGAGCUGUACCAAGGGAAAUUGUAUUGAAAUAGUUUAUAUUUUUAGCUCACCAACAUGGAGAGAGUGAGAGAGUGAAAGUGAGAUCAGCCAAGAGAGGAAAGAAAAGGGGUGUUGAGUCUAUGAGAAUGAAAUGCUGUCGGGGCAAGACGGCAAAAGGCUGAUUCAAAAGACCAGCAAUAAUGGAAAAAAGAAAUUAAAAGAAAUUUGGAGACGUCAUUGGAGACAAUGGAAGUUUCCUUUCCUUAUUCCCUCUUGAAAUAGUGUUGAUGCCACUUUUCUAAACCAGAAUGUAGUGAUUGAAUAAAAGAAGUGCUGUGUUACAUCUCAAAAAGAGAGAAGUCAAAAAGGAAAGUGCAGUGUUUGAAGAGUGAAAACAGACAAAGGUUUUAUGUAAAUACCAAGAGGAGGAAGAAAAAAUUUAAAGUUUUUUUGUUUUUUUGUUAUUGUUUUUUGUCUUCAAAAACUUUCUGCAUGGCUAACAAAAACAGUUAUAUGAUACUGACUAAACACAGAAAAAAUUGGACUAAAUGAGAAAUUUUGAUGUAGUCUUGUGUGACACAUUUGAUAGACCUAGGGAUGCAUCUUCAAUCAGUGUUCUGCUGUUAAGAUUGAAGGUGUCUUACAUGUUUCACUGAAACUAUAAAGAUGUUAGAUCACAUGUAUGAAAUAAUGACAAUAUUGGUUGAUAAACUUAAGAAAUGCUUGAGUGAAACAAAUGUAUAUGUAUCUGUUAUAUGUAUAUACCCUUCUGCCAUACAGUUGUCAUUGGUUGUGACUGUGUUUGUUCUCUGGAAGCAAGUCUGGUGAAGUCUUCGGCAUUACCUGUUCCUCAGUGGCCCAUUCUGUGAGAGAGGAACCUUUCCUUAGUUGGUGACACUCCAUACUUCCUUGCUCAAGGUUAUGAGGAGGAUUCUGCCCUUGCCUUAGUGCCCAGAUGUGGUUUAAAGUACUCUGCAUUUUCUGUGCCACUCAAGCUCUCACAUACUUGUAUAGUUGAACAAGGUGCCAGUUGUGAUGGAAGACCAAGUGAAAUGGCACAGCCACCACUGGCCAGCAAGAUAAUUCUCAGGCACACAAUGGCUUCCAAGACAGUUUGAAGUGGAAUGAACAAGAGCAACCAGCAAGAACUUGUUUCAUUAACAAUAUCAAAGUGGGUUAGAAUCUUCAGAUUUUCCCAGUCCUAUACAUCCACAUAUCAUAUGGAUCCACACAAUUGAUACACUUGUACAUAUUUACAUAUACAUACACUUAAAGACCUUACACACUUAAAAAUAUUCCUGUAUACAGAUAUGCACAUAUACACCUAAAAAUAUGUACUGAAACACACACACACACACACACACACACACACACACACACACACACACACACACACACACACACACACACACACACACACACACACACACACACACACAUACACACACACGAACCUACCUGUGCAAAUGACAACACUCCUAAUUUGAAUACAGUCUUUAAAAUAGUCAAACUCCCCAUAGGAGUGAGAAUCCCAAUAUGUAUAAAAGAAGAAAAAAGUAAUAAAGCAGUACUCCAAGAGCACAAGGCAAGGUAUGCAAACCAAGCAAGACUUCCCAAAACUUAGGAAGAUAUGCUAAGACUAUACACCAAGACUAGCCGAGUCUUCCUCGACGUCACCUGAUCUCUACGCAUGCUCUCUGUGGAUGGCUUGACCCCCCCUCCCUCCCCCCCAUGGACAAUGCUCAGAUUGUGAUAGAACUGAACCUGAAGCAAAAUCUCAUGACCAUUUUUUUUUCUUGCUUAAUGAUAAAAAGUUUUUGAAUUUUUCUUUCCACAAGGAGAGGGACAAAGGAGGCAAAGUUACCCUCUCUUUCUUUCUUUCUUUCUUCUUCUCGUUCCUCUUCUUUAUUCUUCCUAUUUACCUGCAUUGUUAUAAUUAUUUUUAAACCAUUUUCUGUCCACCUGGUAACUGCAGUGCCUCUCCAUCCUCAUCAGUGAAAUUAUGGGCAUCACAAUAGAAGAGUUGCCUUUAAGGCCACGUAAAUGACCGAGUAUGUUGUGUGUUUGUGAGUGUGAGUGUGUGUGUGCACAUGUGAGUGUGUGUUUGUUUGUAUCAUGUUUGUUCAUUUGUUAGAAGAGAACUGAGUGGGGAAAAAUAAACUUCCACCCAUUGUAAAAAGUCACAAAGUCAUUGUUUUUCUGUUACAUAACUUGUACAGUAGAAUGUGCAAUUUUUUUUUCUUCUUUUUUUUCCGUUGUGCAAGUGCAAAUAUGUAGUGUACAGUUAAUGGAGUACAUAUUAUUUUAUUAUAAAAACAAUUCUGCCCACCCAAAUUCCUAGCCGGACAAGGUCUAUUCCCGCCAGGCAGUGGGUCAUCCGGAGUUUAUCUCUGCCGCCGCCGUCAUUUGUCUUCGUCACCAUUGAGAUAGGGACUCACGGAUGACAGCGAAAGGCGAGGGAAAGGGAAGGCCGGGUGCUGGGUGGACUCAGGCAGAGGCUGUACAAAUCAUAGACGUCCGCAGCGAACCUGGCCAGACAGAUCGUGACAAAGACAGACUU
rnacentral:lncRNA from 1 species